rnacentral:rRNA from 1 species
AGAUUGAACGCUGGCGGCAGGCCUAACACAUGCAAGUCGAGCGGUAGAGAGGUGCUUGCAUCUCUUGAGAGCGGCGGACGGGUGAGUAAUGCCUAGGAAUCUGCCUAGUGGUGGGGGAUAACGUUCGGAAACGGACGCUAAUACCGCAUACGUCCUACGGGAGAAAGCGGGGGACCUUCGGGCCUCGCGCCAUUAGAUGAGCCUAGGUCGGAUUAGCUAGUUGGUGAGGUAAUGGCUCACCAAGGCGACGAUCCGUAACUGGUCUGAGAGGAUGAUCAGUCACACUGGAACUGAGACACGGUCCAGACUCCUACGGGAGGCAGCAGUGGGAAUAUUGGACAAUGGGCGAAAGCCUGAUCCAGCCAUGCCGCGUGUGUGAAGAAGGUCUUCGGAUUGUAAAGCAACUUUAAGGUUGGAGGAAGGUUGUAAACCUAAUACGUUGACAACUUUCGACGUUACCGACAAGAAUAAGCACCGGCUAAACGUUCGCGACCAGCAGACCCGG